UAGCAUGGCCCCUGCGCAAGGAUGACACGCAAAUUCGUAAAGCGUUCCACAUUAAA
ensembl:snRNA Gm25772 predicted gene, 25772